UCAAGAGGAUGCUAAUACUGAGGAACCCCAUCACCAUUCUGCUACAGAAACAAGCACAAGGAGAUCAAAGCGGCACAGGAUCACAGAAACAAGAACAAGGAGAUCAAAGCGGCACAGGGUCACAG